UGAGGCAGAACCUCACUUCUGAGGAACUGGUAACGUUUAGGACCAAGAUCUGAAAAGUGGGUGUGUUGGAGCAGGGAGACAUCUAGAACAUGCCGGGCACUGGGAACCCAGGACCAGGGUUGAAACACGAGGGAAAAUGCUGGGGAACUCACACGUUGAUGACGAGACAAUCUGGCAGAGAAUGAAAGCUGCAACUCGAAGCAUCUCAGCUCCUGUUUGUGUUUGAGGAAGAACAAAAUCCUCCUCCUUCCUCCUUCUCUGUGCUGCUGAGAGAGAAGAUAACAGGACUCCCAUAACAUCACACUACAAAUGCAGAAAAAACAACCCUUCAAGAAAUGAGUCAAUUGAAUACUCUUGAAUUUAUAUAAAUGUACUUGUUGUAAGGAAAAAGAAUCUGCCAAUGGGGUAAGCAAAAUCCACUUGGCUUGAAUAUUUAACACUAUUUUGUAUAUUUAGCCACUUUCCAACUGUAUUGUGCUUUAAAACAAGGAAAAACUGGCCAAAA